AACCUCUCUUACGAAGAACGAGUAGCCAUCGACUUCGACCUCCGGCGAAAGUGCGAGUCCGGUAAAAAAGGUCGUGCCGAGCGUCCGUAUCGGGGGAAACGAAGGCCAGCUAUUGAGCUCUGAAAUCCUCGCUUUCGUGUGCCGACCUUGUCCUGACAUGGGGAAGGCAAGAACAACCUGGACACGGCGGAGUCUAUCCACU
rnacentral:ncRNA from 1 species